UCAUCAGUAGGGUGAUCCUUACCUGUAGUCCUUCGGGACACAGUGAGGACACAUGAUGAAAGGUGAGAGUAAUGAUGUGCACUGACUUACUUCUCUGGAUUUGUUGGGAUCGCAACACCCUCAUUUCCCUUUCUGAU